rnacentral:rRNA from 1 species
UACGAAGGGUGCAAGCGUUACUCGGAAUUACUGGGCGUAAAGCGUGCGUAGGUGGUUUGUUAAGUCUGUUGUGAAAGCCCCGGGCUCAACCUGGGAAUGGCAAUGGAUACUGGCAAGCUAGAGUGCGGUAGAGGGUAGUGGAAUUCCCGGUGUAGCGGUGAAAUGCGUAGAGAUCGGGAGGAACACCAGUGGCGAAGGCGGCUACCUGGACCAGCACUGACACUGAGGCACGAAAGCGUGGGGAGCAAAACAGG